ACUUUCUUGGAUGUUUCAUCGUGUUUCUCAGUUUCUAAAAUGAUCCACUGAUGCCAACAAGAGAGAUAUUUCAGAAAACAACUAAAGGAACUACGAAAAAGAAAGCUGCCUAAGAUCAGUUGGGUGUUACCCUUCACUUCGUAUCCACUACUUCAUCUAACUUCGGUUUUCCAAAGCAAAUGUCCAAGUUAGCGGUUAUACUGCUUCCAUUAUCAACAAAAAAGGGAUAUAGCUUUAACACUCAGUAUGAAUUUAACGCUGAAAGUGAAAUUUUACUGACUUAAGUUGCCAAUCAUUCAUAGUUUCCACGCGAUCUUAAACAAUGGCCUUCGAAAACCAUCUUUGAGAUCGAGAUCUCAAAUACACAAUCGGUUCAGGGACUUGUACAAGCAAAAUAUGUGACCUGAUUACCCAAUUUGUUAAAGGAGUGCGUGGAGAGUGUUGGCUGAAAUGGAUUAUCGCGAGUUGCUUUUCUAGGUUGCAAAACGUGGAGGAAAGACAAGUUAUGAAAGGUUAGGGAAAGGAACUUGUGCCACAUUUGUUAGAGAAGAACGUAUUCUCUCUCAUACUGAUAGAAACUAUGAUGUUUCACAACAAACAUAAAUUAAACUACAUUGACUAAAAAAGGAACGUGUCAUGUGCAACACUUUAAUUUAUUGGAAGAAGCAUCUUCAUUUUCUCGCCGCCAUGUUGCCGUCAGAAAGAUUAUUCGAGAAGCCACGCAUAGGCUGUUCGAAUUCUUGUUCCCAGUCCCAGAAAUGUCCCACUUCCUUCGCUUCGGCUGGCGUUCGCGCCUUUCGUUUCUUCUUUCGUCCUUGCCUGAUUGCCGAGGAUGGAGCAGAGAGCACAACACCGAUAAUUCAUUUCCAAGCUUGGUUUCGUGCUGUGGAUUUGCUUAAAAAAUGAGGGAAUUAAUUCAAACAGAGGUUUGACCAUGGAGGACUGACAUGGAACACCUUUCAAGCGGCUUCACCACCGAUUUCAGCGCCGUAAGAGAUGUAGUAGCACAACAUAAGUUUCUCAGACGUUUCUUCAUGUGACUCAGUUUGCAAAGUGAUCCAUUUAUGCCAACAAGAAACAGAUUUCAGAAAAAAAAAGUGGAGGAAUACGAAAAACAAAGCUACCUUCAAUCAGUUGGGUCAUCCUUCAGUUGGUAUCUACUAAAACUGUCAACUUCUGUUUUCCAGAGGAAAUAUCCAAGCUGGCGGUCAUUCCUUCCAAUAUCAACAAAACUAAAGAAUAUGCCCCAAAAAGCCAGUAUGGAUUUUAUGAUGGCAGUAAAACUUUCUUCUUCACAAAAAAAUUACACAUGAACUUGUUUUCGUUACCACAACUUUCAGUCCUUCCACAUCUAUUACAGUGACCACCGAAAGACAUCUUUGGAGCCCAUUGCAAGAUUAUAAAUACAUGAUGCUGUUUUUUUCUUUUUUUUGAGUAAAACAUGUGACUGGAUUGCCCAAAUUCCUAAAGGAUUACGUGGAGAGUCUUCGCCAAAACGGAAUUUUGCGAGUUGCUUUCGAGACUGAGCAGGAAGAACGACAUCAAUGAAGCGAUCAACGCUCCUCAACUCAUGAAAGGCUGGAGAACAUAACGGGAGCUCUCUCUCGAGCUGGCGGAAACCGUGACGUCGAUUCACAAUGACAUAAAAGAAGGGAAAAGAAAUGUGCCUUUGACAAGACCUUUUUUAACAUGAACAAAAUAUUUGUAACACCGUUUUCUUUUCGGGUCGAAAGUGAAAUAAUUAUCAUAUUCGGAAACCAUGAGCUGUUCGCAAGAGACUCCGUUCCCAUGAGGCUUUUCUCCCUUCGAAGUAACGUCGCCACUGAAAACCCCGUAUGAUAUUGGAGCAUGACUGUCAAACCACAAUCCAUAGGCAACGUUACGGUCAAGAGAUGUUGCUAGGAACAUCGCAAAAAGUUAUUCACAGUGUAUCUUGACAUUCACGGGCAUAUAGCUGUCUAACAAGUUAUUGGUUACAGAUGUGAUGGCAUCUCAACAUACAUUGGGCGCCUCUCCACCACAGUUUUCAGAAAAUGCACAUUUACAACACAUGGGAAGGAGUGGUAAUGAUCCACACGAGAGGUGAGAAUCGUUUGUUAAUGUA
rnacentral:lncRNA from 1 species